GCGCUCGCAAGCGACGCCCGUGGGAAAGCGGCAGUGUUUUGGCCCUGCCGGCCUUCCCCCGGAGUGCCCGGGCUGGCCCAGCACCUGGCAAAACCUCUUAGGGAAAAGGCAAGGAACAACUGCAGUUGUUCUACCGUUUCUUUAGCCGGGGACUGGAACACAGACAAAAUCAAGGUGGUCUUUGACCUGUGCAGGCUCCGAGCAUUUUUCAACCUUCCUUAGCAGGGCAUUCUCACCCUCUGAAAAGCUGGAAGACUUUAACAUCUGGAUCCGCACCUGCAGCUGUGCAAAUUAAUGUAGUUUCUUUUAGGAAACGAAGGGAAAGUUUUCCUGUUGUGAGCCUAAAUACCGAGUCUACUCUGCUUUUUCCAUCAGGUGACGAAGCUUAUGGAAAAAAAGACCAAAGGCCUCGAGGGAUGUUAUUCUUGACCCCCCGGGGCAAAGGGAGGUGUUCACCUGGUCAGCGUCAGGAGCCAUCCUAACUGAGGCCCUGGUAGGCUCCCUCUUUUCCUUCGGUUGCUGUAGAUGUGCCGGACGCCUCUGGCAGGACUAACCCUGUGGCUUUUACGUCCAGCGUGCUGUGCUGCGUGCCUGCAGGUAAGAAAAGCUGGGAGUGCAGUCCCUCUGCUUUGAUUGCUGUGUCUCUUUGGUAGUGAUUUUGGAGGGGAAUCCCAGAG